GAGAGAAAUUUUGAGCACCUUGGAGCGACUGAAGGCAGAUGGUGACAGAGAUGUCCGAUAUUUUGCCAAUCCUGUGCCAGAGCAUACUAUGCUUGUUGAUUAUGAAGAUGAUGCCAUUGAAGAUAUAGAUAUAGAAACACUGCCCGUGUAAGAUGGGCCGGCCUGGUUGUUAAGUGUGCGACUCAGGGACCAACAGGUGAUAUGCAAUGUCUUCUUGUAUCCUCGAUAUUAUGGAACCUGGUUCAUCUCUCUGUGUCUGUGUGUGUGAGUGAGGACGGAAAGCGAGUAUUGGAUACAGACCCUAACACCAGCUACAACUUGUGAUAUCUAUGAUUAUAAUAACUGUCAUCUUUUAUGUACUCAAGUCAAUAAUUGUUAUUUUAUGAACCUUUUUAAAUUUUAUGUUGCCCUUAUUUUAUUCUAGUAUGGCAAUAUGUUGUGCUAAAAUGUUUAGUACCCCUGUUUUAAGCGAGAAUGUUCCCUGUAUGAAAUUGGUCAAGUUAUAAGUAUUGGGUGAAAAAUUGAAUGACUUAUGUAUAUCUUUAUUUAUUUCUCUAUUGUUAUAAAUUCAAAGUAUUUUAAUUCCCAGAUUGAAGUAAAAAGCUGUUAAUUAGGAUCCAUGGUAAUACAAUUUUUUUUUUCUUUUGUGCCAAAUGCUGCAAUAAUUGGAAGCAAAUCCAUAGGAUGGUUUCAUUUCAAAGGAAGUAGUUUUGAGCGUGUGUAAUUAUUAUUUAUUUGCUGCUGAAUUAUUCAAAAUUGAUCUAAAAUUCCCUGCUUGAAAACUGGAAAAUCUUCUGAAUUUUUGUUUAAACAGAUUCAUGGUUUAUGAUUGAGCUGAGUUUCAAUGUAACUUCUUAUAGUUUUAAUGUCUACCAAACAAUAAUUUAGUGCCAUAGCAUUAAAAUGCUGGAUAAACAGGUUAUUUAAAUACCAUGCUUAAUGAAAUCAGACCAGAAUUUUCAAGACAUGAAUAAUGUGUGUGCCCCGUGUUGUACGUGGGGGGUGAAAUGAAGAAAUAUCAGACUGAUAUUUUUAAGAAGUUUUAUAUUGAUGUCUAUGAUCUGUGAUUUUGUUUAUGAGAUUAUGCCAUUAAAAUUGUAAUGAAU
rnacentral:misc_RNA from 1 species